AGGCUUAACACAUGCAAGUCGAGGGGCAGCAUGGUCUUAGCUUGCUAAGGCCGAUGGCGACCGGCGCACGGGUGAGUAACGCGUAUCCAACCUGCCUUACACUCUUGGACAGCCUUCUGAAAGGGAGAUUAAUACAAGAUGUUAUCAUGAGUAAGCAUUUUCGCAUGAUUAAAGGUUUACCGGUGUAAGAUGGGGAUGCGUUCCAUUAGAUAGUAGGCGGGGUAACGGCCCACCUAGUCUUCGAUGGAUAGGGGUUCUGAGAGGAAGGUCCCCCACAUUGGAACUGAGACACGGUCCAAACUCCUACGGGAGGCAGCAGUGAGGAAUAUUGGUCAAUGGACGAGAGUCUGAACCAGCCAAGUAGCGUGAAGGAUGAAGGUUCUAUGGAUUGUAAACUUCUUUUAUACGGGAAUAAACGGAUCCACGUGUGGAUUUUUGCAUGUACCGUAUGAAUAAGGAUCGGCUAACUCCGUGCCAGCAGCCGCGGUAAUACGGAGGAUCCGAGCGUUAUCCGGAUUUAUUGGGUUUAAAGGGAGCGUAGAUGGGUUGUUAAGUCAGUUGUGAAAGUUUGCGGCUCAACCGUAAAAUUGCAAUUGAUACUGGCAGUCUUGAGUACAGUUGAGGUAGGCGGAAUUCGUGGUGUAGCGGUGAAAUGCUUAGAUAUCACGAAGAACUCCGAUUGCGAAGGCAGCUUACUAACCUGUAACUGACAUUGAUGCUCGAAAGUGUGGGUAUCAAACAGGAUUAGAUACCCUGGUAGUCCACACGGUAAACGAUGAAUACUCGCUGUAGGCGAUAUACAGUCUGCGGCCAAGCGAAAGCAUUAAGUAUUCCACCUGGGGAGUACGCCGGCAACGGUGAAACUCAAAGGAAUUGACGGGGGCCCGCACAAGCGGAGGAACAUGUGGUUUAAUUCGAUGAUACGCGAGGAACCUUACCCGGGCUUAAAUUGCAACCGAAUAUGGCGGAAACGCUAUAGCUAGCAAUAGCGGUUGUGAAGGUGCUGCAUGGUUGUCGUCAGCUCGUGCCGUGAGGUGUCGGCUUAAGUGCCAUAACGAGCGCAACCCUUGCCGAUAGUUACUAACAGGUCAUGCUGAGGACUCUGUCGGGACUGCCAUCGUAAGAUGUGAGGAAGGUGGGGAUGACGUCAAAUCAGCACGGCCCUUACGUCCGGGGCUACACACGUGUUACAAUGGGGGGUACAGAGGGCUGCUACCACGCAAGUGGAUGCCAAUCCCAAAAACCUCUCUCAGUUCGGAUUGAAGUCUGCAACCCGACUUCAUGAAGCUGGAUUCGCUAGUAAUCGCGCAUCAGCCACGGCGCGGUGAAUACGUUCCCGGGCCUUGUACACACCGCCCGUCAAGCCAUGGGAGCCGGGGGUACCUGAAGUGCGUAACCGCAAGGAGCGCCCUAGGGUAAAACUGGUGACUGGGGCUAAGUCA
rnacentral:rRNA from 1 species